CUUGGUUUUGCUGGAGACGCAUCAGUUGACCAUGCGCAGGGGCACCAGUGCAGGGCAUGCGCAGCACACGGUGCGGCCCUAUGCGUUGGCUCUGACACAACCCCAUCCAGCCCACAGACCAGCCCCGACACUCAUCUAUCCCAUGGGGCCGGGACCUCUGCUUCACUGAGUUCGCUGAAUAGCUGGCGUUCACGUAAUGAGCAGUGUGUGCUGGGACUGACCAUAAAUGAGUUAUUGACAGAAGAGUUGGGCUAACAUUUUUCCUACUUCAUCCAAAGACACAGAUAUCCUUUUUCAGCUACAAAUGUAUGAUUUGCAAACUGAAUACAAGUCCUCAUUAUCUCGAGCUUAACAGGUGGUGGAAACAGAACAAUACUAAAAAAACAUGGAAUCAGACCAAUCCAUAUUCGGCACCGUUAAAUUAUGGAGUGGCGUCAAUGAGGCAUGGAUUGUUACCUACUGAGAUUUUGUGUAACAGGAAACGGAAAACACCAGGGUCCGCCGAGUGUCUUGCAGAUGCAUAGAGACAAUGCAAAACAUGAUGGAAAAUGAUGGAGAUGCCCUUUGGAGAAGAAUUUUAGAAGUACACACUACCUUUCAUGUUAAAGGGACCGAAGGCAGCACAGCAAUACCAUUUAGUUUCUUUAAUGGACAUUUGUAUUUUUAACUGCACAGUGGUAGCUGUUCUGUAAUGAAGACCAUUAAAGGACCAUCACCAUAUGAUUUUGAUAAUGGGUGUGGUGGUGACCUCUGGUGCUAUGGAACCUCGUACAUAUAAAUGUUGCUAGGUGAUGCAUAAAAUAACAAUAUAAGUUAUUCUUGGGGUCAGGGCAUGCAAAUUAUUCAAACAGAAAUGAAACAUUUACUGCAAAAUUGUAAGGAUCCUCCUCCCCCACCAGUUUUUACUACAAACCAAAAAAUAAUAUAUUUCUAUACAUAAAUAAUCAUUUGGGUACCAUGAUGUUCUGAGUGACACCUGGAUCCAUUUGUGGAUGAAAAUAGCUUUGCAUUGAAAACAUGCAAUGAUGUAUGUUUUUCAAUUGUUUUCAAUGAACAAACACCAUAGUCUUGUAGUAUAUCAGAGAGAUUUCAUGUAGAAUACAAUUGUUGAUAUGUGAAAUUGUGCCCAAUCAAACCAAAAGCAUUUUCAUAUCCAAAAAGAAUUAAAUCGACGAUGCAAAUGUUUUGCUUUCUGCACAGCCCUGUUCAGAGGCUCUUUCAGUAGCCUGAAUUCUGAAUAAAGCAUCGUAAUGUAAAAGCAAUGACAGCAGCCACUACAUAGCUUUGAAGGGGUCGCUAGGAUCAACUGAUCUGCUCCUCUUAGUCAGCAUUCUGACAUAUGUUGUGAAAGGGGUUUCACUGGAAAUCUGGAGGAGGUUUCAUGAUGAAGAGCAGUCUAAAU